UAUCUAUAUGAUCAAAAUCGCUCAACUUGUAGAGCUUGUCAAGAAGAUACACAAUGUCAAAGAUCAUUUGAAUCCAAUUCUGAAUGAUACAUAAUCGAAGAUGGUGAAAGCGAAUUUAUUUUCAUGAAAAUAGAUUUGGCUACACUGUAUCAGAGCCUCAUAUCAGCUACUCAUAUAUUCACUCCGACGAAGGGGCGUCGUAGGCGGAGAGGUUGUUCAGCAGAAAAGGAUUCUCUCACUUAACAGGUCACUUCUGAUCUUCCAUCCUUCAACCCAAUCUGAUACCCAUAAUGAUUCGAGCUAGUUGGCAUGUGACGUAGAAAGAAAACUAUGUGCUUCUAUCUACUUUCCUCCAAUUCCAUUCCUCAUCUUAUUCGGCAAUAGUUUGUUGAAUGCUAGGCAUUUAUCUUUCAGACUGACAACUUGAGAAUGUGCACCUCCUCAAGUUCCUUAUAGCUCCCAAGUUCAAACGGUACCUUUCAACCUUUCUUAGUGUUAGAGAUAUUAGGCCUGUACCAGAGCUUCACUUAACUCCUGCAGAGGUUGUUGACUGAAAGUAGCUCGUGUGAUGUGGCUGCAUUUUGAGGAUUAGCUCUUAGGGUAACUGAAUCUGUUACCUCUCUCUCUUCUGUAAUUGUAUAUUUGCUGAUAAAGGCUUGUCGGCAGUCAAUAAAAAUUCUAGUUCCACUCGUGCCAGCAAUUGUAUGUCAUGUUAGAGUUGAUGUAUAUCUUGAACCAGUGCUAAUGAAACCCUUCAAAACAACACCCGUUGCUGAGUGAGAUUUAUAAGGAUGCCUAAUCAACACCAAUUGUAUGUCAUGUCUGGAGUAAGAUUUAGAGAGAGAAGCUGAGUUGAUUUCAUCUAGAAAAUAAGGAAGUGAUUGCAGAGUGAGAUUGGAGGCAAGCGUGGAUCAGUCAUUCCGACUCAGGGUCUCCAUCAAGGUGAUGCUGUUUCUUAAAGUUGAGAGGGGAGAAUGUGCCCAAAUUCUGGAUAUUCUUGACAGCUACAAUGAAGCUUCGGGGCAGUUGGUAAAUUCCAGUAAAUCGGGAGUACGGUUUUCAUCCACUGUAGCCCUUUCAGUGCAAGAGGACCUAUGCUGUUUUCUGAAUAUGAAUCGUGUGGGGGAGGGAUGCAAGAUACCUGGGUCUUCCUGCCCUUUGGGGGCGGUCCAAGGCGGCCGGUUAUAAUUUCCUCUGGAAAAAGCUCUGCUCAAACUCCAAGGGUGGAAACAAAAGCUGUUAAAUUUUGUGGGGAAGGAAGUUUUCAUCAAAUCAGAGGUCCAAGUCAUCCCGUCCUACGCAAUGGCGUGCUUUAGUCUCGCCAAAAACUUUUGCGAUAAACUCAACUAUGUCUCUAAUCUCUGGUGGAUAGGUGACCCUGAAGGAAGAGGAGUGCACUGGACGUCAUGGCAGAGAAUGUCUGAGUCUAAAUUUUCGGGUGGUAUGGGAUUCCACGAUUUGAAAGCUUUCAAUAUGGCCAUGUUAGCUAAACAAGGCUGGAUGUUAACUCAAAAUCCACACUCUUUCUGGGGGCAUUAGCUUAAAGAUAUCUAUAGUCCCCAAUCCUCUUUUCUUAGUUCUUCAAAGGGGAGGAGGCCUUCUUGGGACUGGUAUAGUCUUCUCCAAGGGGGAGACCUCCUCCUUCAAGGGACCAGAUGGCAGGUCUCUGAUGGCGUGAUCCAUAAACAAAAACAUCUUCUGUUUGGAUGUGGGUGGACAAAUGCGGUGUGGUUUGGAAGUGAGGUGAAUUAUGUCAUGAAUCCUUUAGCCAUCUCGUCUGUCUUGAAGUGGACCAUUUUGACAAUGCGACUUGGAUUCAGCAGUAGAUCGAUAUCAAUUACUGGGUAAAUAUGCUUUUCUUGCUGGCAAAUAUGGAAGGCUCGCGAUGAUUGGGUCUUAAUUCUUUGCCAGUUAAAAUCCCUUGGAGGUUAUUCACAAAGCCUCUUUCUCAUGGUUUGAAUUCCAAGCGUGUAUGAGUUCUCCUGGCGUGAGAGAGAAUGCAGCUCUGUACGAUGCUAACAGGUCCCAUUGGUCUCUUCCUAGCUCCAGCUGUUGGCAGUUUUUAAGGUUAAUUGUGAUAUUGCGCUGAGUCGUGGGGGCACAAGGAUGGCUGUAGCAGCAGUGUUACGAGACUGGAGGGGGAAAGUGGUGGACGGUGCGACAAGUGUGGGGUUUGCUUCAUUUUUGCUUCAAGGGGAAACUAUGGCUGUGAGGCUAGCGGGCAGACUAUUGCAUUCUAACAACAUUUCAAACGCAGUAGUCGAAGGUGAUAACAGGACAGUCAUCCAACUUUGUUUCAAUGAAAACGUUUCUUCACGUGAAUGUGCAGCCAUUAUAGGCGAUGUUAAGGACUUAAUUUCUUCUUGUAAUUUUUCUUUAUCUUGGGAUAGGGCUGCCCAUUGGGUGGCGACCUCGUGGCUUAGGGAUGUUCUACCAUCUGACUGGGUGGGUAAUCCCCCCUUUCGUUUUCCUCUUUUUGUACAGUUGAUGCCUCUGCUGAGGUUGGUACUUAAUGAAAUUUUAUGCCGUUAAAAAAGCAGCAGCAUAUAUUGGUUCUUUCU